CUUAGUGGCCAUAGCGCGGUGGUCCCACCUGAUCCCAUGCCGAACUCAGAAGUGAAACGCCGUAGCGCCGAUGGUAGUGUGGG
rnacentral:rRNA from 1 species